GCUAUCGGGGUUCGAUUAAGCCAUGCGAGUCGAGAGGGUUCGGCCCUCGGCGUACUGCUCAGUAACACGUGGAUAACCUGCCCUAGGGAAGGGGAUAAUCCCGGGAAACUGGGGAUAAUACCCUAUAGGUUACAGAUGCUGGAAUGCUCUGUAAUCAAAAGUUCCGGCGCCCUAGGAUGGAUCUGCGGCCGAUUAGGUUGUUGUUGGGGUAAUGGCCCAACAAGCCAGUAAUCGGUACGGGUUGUGGGAGCAAGAGCCCGGAGUUGGAUUCUGAGACACGAAUCCAGGCCCUACGGGGCGCAGCAGGCGCGAAAACUUUACAAUGCGGGCAACCGUGAUAAGGGAACCUCGAGUGCCUGUAAAUGCAGGCUGUUCAGAUGCCUAAAACACAUCUGGAGAAAGGGCCGGGCAAGACCGGUGCCAGCCGCCGCGGUAAUACCGGCGGCUCGAGUGGUGGCCACUUUUAUUGGGCUUAAAGCGUUCGUAGCUGGGUUGUUAAGUCUCUUGGGAAAUCUGGCGGCUUAACCGUCAGGCGUCUAAGGGAUACUGGCAAUCUUGGAACCGGGAGAGGUGAGGGGUACUUCGGGGGUAGGAGUGAAAUCCUGUAAUCCUCGAGGGACCACCUGUGGCGAAGGCGCCUCACCAGAACGGCUUCGACAGUGAGGGACGAAAGCUGGGGGAGCAAACCGGAUUAGAUACCCGGGUAGUCCCAGCCGUAAACUAUGCGCGUUAGGUGUAUCGGUGACCACGAGUUACCGAGGUGCCGAAGGGAAACCGUGAAACGUGCCGCCUGGGAAGUACGGUCGCAAGGCUGAAACUUAAAGGAAUUGGCGGGGGAGCACCACAACAGGUGGAGCCUGCGGUUUAAUUGGACUCAACGCCGGGAAGCUCACCGGAUAGGACAGCAGAAUGAUUGCCGGGCUGAAGACCCUGCAUGACUAGCUGAGAGGAGGUGCAUGGCCGUCGUCAGUUCGUACUGUGAAGCAUCCUGUUAAGUCAG
rnacentral:rRNA from 1 species